rnacentral:rRNA from 1 species
GACAGAGGGUGCAAACGUUGUUCGGAAUUACUGGGCGUAAAGCGCGUGUAGGCUGCUUGGAAAGUCGGGUGUGAAAGCCCUGAGCUCAACUCAGGAAGUGCACUCGAAACUUCCGAGCUCGAGUCCUGGAGAGGGUGGCGGAAUUCUCGGUGUAGAGGUGAAAUUCGUAGAUAUCGAGAGGAACACCGGUGGCGAAGGCGGCUACCUGGACAGUGACUGACGCUGAGACGCGAAAGCGUGGGGAGCAAACAGG